CAGUCGCCGCGGUAAUACGUAGGUGGCAAGCGUUGUCCGGAAUUAUUGGGCGUAAAGCGCGCGCAGGUGGUUUAAUAAGUCUGAUGUGAAAGCCCACGGCUCAACCGUGGAGGGUCAUUGGAAACUGUUAAACUUGAGUGCAGGAGAGAAAAGUGGAAUUCCUAGUGUAGCGGUGAAAUGCGUAGAGAUUAGGAGGAACACCAGUGGCGAAGGCGGCUUUUCGGCCUGUAACUGACACUGAGGCGCGAAAGCGUGGGGAGCAAACAGGAUUAGAUACCCCGGUAGUCCCUGUCUCUUAUAC
rnacentral:rRNA from 1 species